GCGCCCGUAGCUCAAUUGGAAGAGCAGCGGGUUUCUAACCCGUUGGUUGGGGGUUCGAGCCCCUCCGGGCGCG
rnacentral:tRNA from 1 species